rnacentral:rRNA from 1 species
UUUCGGUCCAGACUCCUACGGGAGGCAGCAGUGGGGAAUAUUGGACAAUGGGCGAAAGCCUGAUCCAGCCAUGCCGCGUGUGUGAAGAAGGUCUUCGGAUUGUAAAGCACUUUAAGUUGGGAGGAAGGGCAGUAAGUUAAUACCUUGCUGUUUUGACGUUACCGACAGAAUAAGCACCGGCUAACUCUGUGCCAGCAGCCGCGGUAAAA